rnacentral:rRNA from 1 species
UGGGGAAUAUUGGACAAUGGGCGCAAGCCUGAUCCAGCAAUGCCGCGUGUGUGAAGAAGGCCUUCGGGUUGUAAAGCACUUUAAGCAGGGAAGAAAAAACUCGGCCUAAUACAUCGAGUCUUGACGGUACCUGAAGAAUAAGCACCGGCUAACUCUGUGCCAGCAGCCGCGGUAAUACAGAGGGUGCUAGCGUUAAUCGGAUUUACUGGGCGUAAAGCGUGUGUAGGUGGUUGUUCAAGUCAGUUGUGAAAUCCCUGGGCUUAACCUGGGAACUGCUUCUGAGACUGAACGACUAGAGUACGGUAGAGGGUGGUGGAAUUUCCGGUGUAGCGGUGAAAUGCGUAGAUAUCGGAAGGAACAUCAAUGGCGAAGGCAGCCACCUGGGCCUGUACUGACACUGAGACACGAAAGCGUGGGGAUCAAACAGGAUUAGAUACCCUGGUAGUCCACGCCGUAAACGAUGAGAACCUGACGUCGGUUUGCUCUGCAAGUCGGUGUCGUAGCUAACGCGAUAAGUUCUCCGCCUGGGGAGUACGGCCGC